GACGAACGCUGGCGGCGUGCUUAACACAUGCAAGUCGAACGGAAAGGCCCUGCUUUUGUGGGUUGCUCGAUUGGCGAACGGGUGAGUAACACGUGAGUAACCUCCCCUUGACUUUGGGAUAUCUUCAGGAAACUGGGGCUAAUACCGCAUAGGAGCUCCCGCUGCAUGGUGGGGGUUGGAAAGUUUCGGCGGUUGGGGAUGGACUCGCGGCUUAUCAGCUUGUUGGUGGGGUAGUGGCUUACCAAGGCUUUGACGGGUAGCCGGCCUGGGAGGGUGACCGGCCACAUUGGGACUGAGAUACGGCCCAGACUGCUACGGGAGGCAGCAGUGGGGAAUAUUGCACAAUGGGCGGAAGCCUGAUGCAGCAACGCCGCGUGCGGGAUGACGGCCUUCGGGUUGUAAACCGCUUUCGCCUGUGACGAAGCGUGAGUGACGGUAAUGGGUAAAGAAGCACCGGCUAACUACGUG
rnacentral:rRNA from 1 species